GUUUUUUAAAAUUCUUUUGUUACUUUCCUUGAUGUUGCAAGUAUAUAUGGAAUCCCAAGUGGAAAUGGGACCCCUAUGAAAGCACUUCACGCCCUUUUAUGCCCCAUAGUUUGCUCUUUACUCGACCAAUGCAAUUCAAGACCCCACUUUAAACACCCUAUAAGAACUCCCUUCACGAAUCACAACUUCAUCUUCCCAUUCCAUCAUCAUCUUCACAAAAAAAAUAAGAAACCCACAAAAAGGAGAGGGAAAAAAAAAUUCUCUCAAGAAAAAAGAAAAAUUCCUUAAUUUCAUCAAAAGAAUCAUCAGACAAUAUGAAGAUGAUGAGUGGCAGCAAUUUAGGAAGCUCAAAGAGAAGAAUAGCAAGUAGAGGACUUGGUGGGGCACUUAGAGAACAAAGAGCUAAGCUUUACAUUAUAAGAAGAUGUGUGGUUAUGCUUCUUUGUUGGCAUGAUUGAGUUCGACCGAUCCUUUGGCCAUGGUUCGAUUCGAGGCACUGAAUGAGUACGAAAAAUUUCAACUCACCACCGGAGUCUGGACUAGGCAUCUAGUUGGUUUUUUUUUCUCUCUUCUUAUUAGAAAAUGUGUAGUUUGCUUCUACGGCCUUCGUUCGAUCAUGGCUCAAUUCGAGACAUUGGAUGAGGACAAACAAUUUCAACUCAGUACCAGCCUAGGCAGGGAGUUGGCUUUUUUCCUCUCUUGUUAGAUUGUGUAUAUAUUAGCGCCGCCUGAUGUUAUAUUUUUUUGAGUUGUAACAAUUUUGUACUAAUUAAUGGCCUUACAAGGCUUGAUAGCUUGAACUGAAACAUUUAAUUUGAUUCAUUUCUUCUUUUUAUAAAAUCUUUUUUCUAUUCAAUUUCUUUUCAAUUC
rnacentral:lncRNA from 1 species